rnacentral:rRNA from 1 species
UGAGGAAUAUUGGUCAAUGGACGGAAGUCUGAACCAGCCAUGCCGCGUGCAGGAUGACGGCUCUAUGAGUUGUAAACUGCUUUUAUACGAGGGUAAAACUGGGUACGUGUACCCACUUGAAAGUAUCGUAUGAAUAAGGAUCGGCUAACUCCGUGCCAGCAGCCGCGGUAAUACGGAGGAUUCGAGCGUUAUCCGGAUUUAUUGGGUUUAAAGGGUGCGUAGGCGGUAAUUUAAGUUAGUCGUUAAAUCGGAAGGCUCAACCUUCUCAUGGCGAUUAAUACUGGGUUACUAGAGAUUAGAUGCAGAGGGCGGAAUGUGUAGUGUAGCGGUGAAAUGCUUAGAUAUUACACAGAACACCGAUUGCGAAGGCAGCUCUCUAAUCUACAUCUGACGCUCAGGCACGAAAGCGUGGGGAUCAAACA